AUACGUAGGGUGCGAGCGUUAAUCGGAAUUACUGGGCGUAAAGCGUGCGCAGGCGGUUUUGUAAGUCAGAUGUGAAAUCCCCGGGCUUAACCUGGGAACUGCGUUUGAAACUGCAAGGCUAGAGUGUGGCAGAGGGGGGUGGAAUUCCGCGUGUAGCAGUGAAAUGCGUAGAGAUGUGGAGGAACACCAAUGGCGAAGGCUGCCCCCUGGGUCAACACUGACGCUCAGGCACGAAAGCAUGGGGAGCAAACAGGAUUAGAUACCCCGGUAGUCC
rnacentral:rRNA from 1 species